rnacentral:lncRNA from 1 species
GAAUCUAGGUCAAAUAGCUGAGGUACUAAUAAUAAGCAGUUCUGUGUAAUCUAUGAGUUACAUUGAACAGUAAAUCCAGCCUGUAGGAUCCUGCACAGGCUUUGUUCUGUGCGAGUCUCACAUAAAACUAAGCCAGAGUUGCCCAGAUUGCCGUAGACAGUCAAAACUCAUCUAGAAUCACUCUUCCCAAAGUGUGUGCCUCCUCUGUGAGCACUGCAGGUGCAGAAAGUAGUAGGGGGUCUGCAGGCUAAAGUUCUCCCCAUCCUUGUUUAAUCCAUUUUCUUUCUAUCCCUGAAGAAAGAGGCCUUGCUCACCACAUCACGUAGCUAAAAGCAAAGAUGCAAGCGCUUCCCUUGGAUCCAAGAAGAAAGCUUGCUUUUCUGAAAGAUACUGGGAGCUCUGGUUCUGUUCUUCACUGCAGCGUGGUCUGUGAUGUGAUAAUAGCUGACAUGCACACCUUGAGCUGGGUGUGCUUCUUCCCCCCACACACAAUGCAGUAUAAUGAGGAGUGCUGAUGUCUCGUUGAACCCCCCAGGACAGCCUGACACAAGGAGUAGAAGGCUUUGUCCAGGUGUGCUGGGAGCACUGCAAUCAGGCAGCUGGUGCCAAGUGGCCAUGCAGCCCCUUUCCAGUCCAGAAGGAAGGUGCAUGAUGCUCUGGCUGAGCACAGAGCUGGGCUCCAUUGCAACAUUUUCCUUUUUUCUGCCUCUUUCUGCCUGUAAUAUAAUAGAGCAUGUAGCAUCAGAUAACAGCUGCUCAGCUGAAGAUCUUUGCACCUCUGUGCAGUGCCAUCAGCAUUGUGACAAAUGCAAUCCUGAUGGCCAUGGUCUGAAGGGCAGAGCUGCCCUCACUCCAGAGAAGGAGGAGGAUAAUAUGGACUUCUGGUGGCAGGACGGGAACAAAAGGUGGACUCCAAGCUGCACAGCUUGCUGCCAAUGGCACUCUACUCACAGCCCUCUUAACAUUUCUACUCCAACUCUCUGCAUAAUAAAGAGCUACUGUUUUUGCUGCCUCCUGCUUUCCCUGAACAACUGAAAGCUUCUAGAUCAAUAAAAAGUAAGUGAGUUUUCA